AUUGAACGCUGGCGGAAUGCUUUACACAUGCAAGUCGAACGGUAGAGGGGGCAACCCCUUGAGAGUGGCGAACGGGUGAGUAAUAUAUCGGAACGUGCCCAGUCGUGGGGAUAACGUAGCGAAAGUUACGCUAAUACCGCAUACGAUCUAAGGAUGAAAGCGGGGGAUCGCAAGACCUCGCGCGAUUGGAGCGGCCGAUAUCAGAUUAGGUAGUUGGUGAGGUAAAGGCUCACCAAGCCAACGAUCUGUAGCUGGUCUGAGAGGACGACCAGCCACACUGGAACUGAGACACGGUCCAGACUCCUACGGGAGGCAGCAGUGGGGAAUUUUGGACAAUGGACGCAAGUCUGAUCCAGCCAUUCCGCGUGCAGGAUGAAGGCCCUCGGGUUGUAAACUGCUUUUGUACGGAACGAAAGGUUUCAUUAAUACUAGGAGCUCAUGACGGUACCGUAAGAAUAAGCACCGGNUAACUACGUGCCAGCAGCCGCGGUAAAGUGACUAC
rnacentral:rRNA from 1 species